GCUGGGUGUGGUGGCACACGCCUGUAGUCCCAGCUACCCAGGAGGCUGAGGUGGGAGGAUCGCUUGAGCCCAGGAGAUUGGGGCUGCAGUGAGCUGUGAUUGUACCACUGCACCCCAGCCUGGGUGACAAGUGAGACCCUGUCUCAA
rfam:Pan troglodytes isolate Yerkes chimp pedigree #C0471 (Clint) chromosome 7, whole genome shotgun sequence.